AUGAACGCUGGCGGCGUGCCUCAUACAUGCAAGUCGAGCGAACAGACGAGGAGCUUGCUCCUCUGACGUUAGCGGCGGACGGGUGAGUAACACGUGGAUAACCUACCUAUAAGACUGGGAUAACUUCGGGAAACCGGAGCUAAUACCGGAUAAUAUAUUGAACCGCAUGGUUCAAUAGUGAAAGACGGUUUUGCUGUCACUUAUAGAUGGAUCCGCGCCGCAUUAGCUAGUUGGUAAGGUAACGGCUUACCAAGGCAACGAUGCGUAGCCGACCUGAGAGGGUGAUCGGCCACACUGGAACUGAGACACGGUCCAGACUCCUACGGGAGGCAGCAGUAGGGAAUCUUCCGCUAUGGGCGAAAGCUUGACGGAGCAACGCCGCGUGAGUGAUGAAGGUCUUCGGAUCGUAAAACUCUGUUAUUAGGGAAGAACAAAUGUGUAAGUAACUAUGCACGUCUUGACGGUACCUAAUCAGAAAGCCACGGCUAACUACGUG
rnacentral:rRNA from 1 species